GAUGAAGAACGCAGCGAAAUGCGAUAAGUAAUGUGAAUUGCAGAAUUCAGUGAAUCAUCGAAUCUUUGAACGCACAUUGCGCCCGCCAGCAUUCUGGCGGGCAUGCCUGUUCGAGCGUCAUUUCAACCCUCGAGCCCCCCCGGGGGCCUCGGUGUUGGGGGACGGCACACCAGCCGCCCCCGAAAUGCAGUGGCGACCCCGCCGCAGCCUCCCCUGCGUAGUAGCACACACCUCGCACCGGAGCGCGGAGGCGGUCACGCCGUAAAACGCCCAACUUUCUUAGAGUUGACCUCGGAUCAGGUAGGAAUACCCGAUGAACUUAAGCAUAUCAAUAAGCGGAGGA
rnacentral:misc_RNA from 1 species